rnacentral:rRNA from 1 species
GCUAAUACAUGCGCACAUACCUCUUCCCUCGUGGAAGGGUAGUGUUUAUUAGAUACAGAACCAACCCACCUUCGGGUGGUCCUCAGGUGAUUCAUAGUAACCGAACGGAUCGCAUUAUGACCUUUUGGUCGGCGAUGGAUCAUUCAAGUUUCUGACCUAUCAGCUUUCGACGGUACUGUAUUGGACUACCGUGGCAGUGACGGGUAACGGGGAAUUAGGGUUCGAUUCCGGAGAGGGAGCCUGAGAAACGGCUACCACAUCUAAGGAAGGCAGCAGGCGCGCAAAUUACCCAAUCCUGACUCAGGGAGGUAGUGACAAGAAAUAACAACACUGGAAAUUAUAUUUCUAGUGAUUGGAAUGAUGGGAAUCCAAACCCCUUUCAGAGUAACAAUUGGAGGGCAAGUCUGGUGCCAGCAGCCGCGGUAAUUCCAGCUCCAAUAGCGUAUAUUAAAGUUGUUGCAGUUAAAAAGCUCGUAGUUGGAUAUCUGCUGGAAGCAGCCAGUCCGCCCUUUGUGGGUGUGCACUUGGUGAAUUCUGGCAUCCUCCUGAUUGGUGUUAUCAUCACUUUAUUGUGUUGGUAGCAGCUGUCAGGACCGUUACUUUGAGAAAAUUAGAGUGUUUCAAGCAGGCUUGUUGCCUUGAAUACUGCAGCAUGGAAUAACAAGAUAGGAUUUCGGUUCUAUUUUGUUGGUUUCUAGGACUGAAGUAAUGAUUAAUAGGGACAGUUGGGGGCAUUCGUAUUUAACUGUCAGAGGUGAAAUUCUUAGAUUUGUUAAAGACGAA